rnacentral:rRNA from 1 species
GGCCAGACUCCUACGGGAGGCAGCAGUGGGGAAGAUUGCACAAUGGGGGAAACCCUGAUGCAGCGACGCCGCGUGAGCGAAGAAGUAUUUCGGUAUGUAAAGCUCUAUCAGCAGGGAAGAAAAUGACGGUACCUGACUAAGAAGCUCCGGCUAAAUACGUGCCAGCAGCCGCGGUAAUACGUAUGGAGCAAGCGUUAUCCGGAUUUACUGGGUGUAAAGGGAGCGCAGGCGGUCCGGCAAGUCUGAUGUGAAAGGCGGGGGCUCAACCCCCGGACUGCAUUGGAAACUGUCGGGCUGGAGUGUCGGAGGGGCAGGCGGAAUUCCUAGUGUAGCGGUGAAAUGCGUAGAUAUUAGGAGGAACACCAGUGGCGAAGGCGGCUUACUGGACUGUAACUGACGUUGAGGCUCGAAAGCGUGGGGAGCAAACAGGAUUAGAUACCCCUGUA